AUAUGUAAAUAGCGCCGUCAGGCUGCUUAUUGUAAAGCUCUUCGUUUUUUUAUAAAAUUGUGGAUUAUCCUCACCGUUUUCUUGGAUUGUUCAUAACUGUUAGUUUAUUAGACUAGCAGAGUUAUCAUAUAAUGCUCAGUUACUCUAAAAAUUAUCUUCUUUCGCUGCGAUGUUGGUACAAAGUUUCCACCCAAGUACAAUCUCAAGGUCUUCGUCAAACUGGAUUUAAGAGACCGGCAAAACAACUGUCGUUACAUACUUGGUCGACUAUGAAAUCAAUGGGGAUCUUACGCAAGAUGAGAGGCAGUCGCGGGGGCCAGUUUACAUCAAAUAUUUCAAGAAUUAAGCCUAUAAUAACAACAUGUAGGCCAAAUUUUUGUCUUGGCAAGCUGAGAAAAAUUUCCACCGGAGCGAAACGUGACUCAUUGACUAUUCAUUCAUCCAGACUUAAUGGCCCAAAUAGGAAUAAUCUCAUUGUUAUAGACCUAUUAAAUACUCAGGUCGAAGAUAAAACUCCUUCGCUCGGUGGCGAUUCUUUGUCCAUCACAAUUCAAGAUACCCAAGUAACUCAACGUCCAGAUUCCCUUAACUUCGUCCCUAGUUUUCUUCUGUCUAAUACGAUGUCCUUGGCACCAAAGGUCGAUGAAAUUCGCUCAGUUGUACUUAACCACCCGGUCGAUUUCGCAUGCUUUACCGAGACAUGGCUGACAGACUCA